ensembl:rRNA 5S_rRNA 5S ribosomal RNA
GCCAGCAGCCAUAUCACCCUGCAACUCACAACUGGCAACCAACUGAAGUUAAGGAGGUGUGAGCCUGGUCAGUACCUGGAUGGGAGACAUCCUGGGAAAAACUAAGGUUGCUGCUGGAA